UAAGGGAAUACAAAGAUAAAUGCCUGCACUCUACUCCCAAGGAGUUCAGAGUCCAAGAGAGAGACAGAUAUAUCAACAAAUAUUAACAGUACAGAGUGAUAAGCCAACAGUCUAAGCAUACGAAUAGUUCACAGGCAGAGAAGAGAAGGGAGUGAUUACCCAUCAUUCCCAACCCCUCACUGGGAAGAAGCCUGUGGAAGAGGCGACACCUACUCUGGACUUUGAAAGGCAUUUCAGGCAGUGGAGUUGGAGCACACAAUCACACAGUGGUGAAACUGAAUGGCAUGUUUAGAAUGAUGUUGCUGGAGGGUAAGAGGAGGAUGAUGGAGACAAAGAAUGCAAAGAGCUUAACUACCACACCAGCAUGGUACGAGGAGCUCCCUGGUGUGCUUUAAUAUUUAGACCAAACACAAGACAGAUGUAUUCCUGGUGCCUGUGUACCAUUACAACUCAUUGAUCAAAUGCAGCAACAUCAACUUCCCAAGAAGUCCCUUU
rnacentral:lncRNA from 1 species